rnacentral:rRNA from 1 species
GAUGAACGCUGGCGGCGUGCCUAAUACAUGCAAGUCGAGCGAACGGACGAGAAGCUUGCUUUUCUGAUGUUGGCGGCGGACGGGUGAGUAACACGUGGAUAACCUACCUAUAAGACUGGGAUAACUUCGGGAAACCGGAGCUAAUACCGGAUAAUAUUUUGAACCGCAUGGUUCAAAAGUGAAAGACGGUCUUGCUGUCACUUAUAGAUGGAUCCGCGCUGCAUUAGCUAGUUGGUAAGGUAACGGCUUACCAAGGCAACGAUGCAUAGCCGACCUGAGAGGGUGAUCGGCCACACUGGAACUGAGACACGGUCCAGACUCCUACGGGAGGCAGCAGUAGGGAAUCUUCCGCAAUGGGCGAAAGCCUGACGGAGCAACGCCGCGUGAGUGAUGAAGGUCUUCGGAUCGUAAAACUCUGUUAUUAGGGAAGAACAUAUGUGUAAGUAACUGUGCACAUGUUGACGGUACCUAAUCAGAAAGCCACGGCUAACUACGUG